rnacentral:lncRNA from 1 species
UAUAUAUAUUAGGAAUUCUCUUAUCCUAUUCGGAAGGAUAUCAUUUCAUAAUUAUGUAUGACUGUUUAGGUCUCUAGUAUGACUGACUACUUGAUCAAAUGUGGAGGAAAGUGGGAUAAAUAGCCAAUACUACUGGAAGAAUUCCUCUUUGGAUAAUAUGUAUUGUAGCUGGUAUUGUUGUGAUCGGUUUAAUUGGUAUUUUCUUUUAUGGUUCAUAUUCCGGAUUGGGAUCAUCCCUGUAAUAAUCGCAUGAAUUUCGUUUUCGAAAUGAAAGCAUAAGAACUA